rnacentral:rRNA from 1 species
AUUGAACGCUGGCGGCAUGCUUUACACAUGCAAGUCGAACGGUAACAGGCCGCAAGGUGCUGACGAGUGGCGAACGGGUGAGUAAUGCAUCGGAGCGUGCCCAGUCGUGGGGGAUAACGCAGCGAAAGCUGUGCUAAUACCGCAUACGACCUAUGGAUGAAAGCGGGGGACCGUAAGGCCUCGCGCGAUUGGAGCGGCCGAUGUCAGAUUAGGCAGUUGGUGGGGUAAAGGCCUACCAAGCCGACGAUCUGUAGCUGGUCUGAGAGGACGACCAGCCACACUGGGACUGAGACACGGCCCAGACUCCUACGGGAGGCAGCAGUGGGGAAUUUUGGACAAUGGGCGCAAGCCUGAUCCAGCAAUGCCGCGUGCAGGAAGAAGGCCUUCGGGUUGUAAACUGCUUUUGUACGGAACGAAACGGUCUGGGUUAAUACCCUGGGCUAAUGACGGUACCGUAAGAAUAAGCACCGGCUAACUACGUGCCAGCCGCCGCAGUAAGAC